CCCUACGGAUGAGACGGCCACAUUUGUUCACCAAACAACGCGCCAUGCGAUUCCACCAAGGGAGGCUGUGGAACGGAUACACCACGCCCGUGGCGGUCUGCCAGAAUCGACACUGAAGACGACGAGCCAUCGGACGCACGAUUGUAACGAAAGAAGCAUCUCUGGGCUGAAUGACCAAAUCGCCCGCAGAUCUGACAUUAAAGACAAGUACGAAACCCCCGACCUCGGCCUCCAGACGAGAACCGACCACGGCGAAUAGAAGUCGUCUGUGACGGAGCGGCUUCCAACAAAUUCGCACACAGCGGUACAUCCAGCACCACAAGCAUCGACCGACUCUCGUAUUCAAGCAACACAUCGACUAACCGCUGAAGAGGCAAAGGCUCCGAUGAGAACGCCGCAAGGGUGAUAAUAGAAUCAAACUCCGGAGGUCAUGACGGAGUCGGGAAAGUUUCGUACCCGAAACGGCUGCAAAGAGACGAGUGGCGAUGGACCACACAUCACAAGCCGUUCUAGCCUCUGUAAACGAGGAAAGAAGUGAGGAAUCGAUUGUGGAAAGAAGCUACGAAGUGAGUAAUCGAUCUUGCUGAAGAAAUGCCGAGGCAUCCGGAUUCGGCACAAUCGAGCCUUUCGGCGAUGGCACAAAUUGCGGUGGAGCAGGAACCGUUCCAUCCAAAAAACCAGUAAGCUCAUAACCUUCAACUAUUAACCUAACAUGUUGCUUCCACUGAACAAACGUGCCUACAUUUAGUUUAACAGUCUCAUGACGCGGAAACGAGUGAAUGAGUCUGGCACUAGUAAACACCGGACCUCCAUGUUCGACGGAGGUAGAAUCAAAAGCCGUGGUGGUCAUGAUCACAGGUCUCUAGCACCUUAGGCGACUAAUACCAUGUUAACACCUUCGGUAAACUCAAAUAUUGAACAGAGAAAACUGAAAAGAAUAACUAGUAUGAAUGAAAUUCUUUGUAAUUGAUUCCUUGAUCUGUUUUACAUAAUAGCAAUGAUAUUUAUAGAGUA